UCACCAGCUGCAGAAACAUCUACAGCUCCAUCAACAAGAACAACCCCUGAACUAACAUGUAUAAUAGCUACAGCGGCAUCUAUAGCUCGAUUAACAAAAAAUCCUGCACCGACAUGUAUAUCAGCUACAGCAACAUCUACAGCUCGAUCAUCAACAACAACCCCUGCCCCACCGUCUACAUCUCGCUCAGCAGUCACUGAAUCAACAUCUACAACUCAAUCAAGACCACCUGCACCAACUUUAAGUUCAACUGUGCUAACAUCAACCACUCUGUCAUCAACAACAGCUGCACCAAGCUCAACAUCAACUGCAUCAACAUCGAUAUCAGCUGCAUUAGCAUCUACUCGAACACCAACAUCUACUUCUCAAAUGACAUCUCAACUUACAUCUACAACUCAACCAGCAAGUCAGUCUACGUCUUCAUCUCCAGAUUCUGUACCACAAACAUUUGCUUAUGCAACUUUUAAACUGAGAUCAUCUGUUGAGCUGAGCAAUGAUGAAAUCAUUACAUAUAUUGAAAAGUUUGUCAAGCACUUUCAAUCAAACAUUAGUGGGACCAUCAGGAUUACUGUGAAGAAAUCAAGAAAAUUGUUGGCCUAAGGAUCUGAUG